GGCAGCAGUGGGGAAUAUUGCACAAUGGGGGAAACCCUGAUGCAGUCCAUGCCGUCGUGUGUGUAAGUAAGGCCUUCGGGUUGUAAAGCACUUUCAGUAGGGAGGAAGGUAGUGUAGUUAACACCUGCAUUAUUUGACGUUACCUACAGAAGAAGCACCGGCUAACUCCGUGCCAGCAGCCGCGGUAAUACGGAGGGUGCGAGCGUUUAAUCGGAAUUACUGGGCGUAAAGCGCAUGCAGGCGGCCUGUUAAGUCAGAUGUGAAAGCCCGGGGCUUAACCUCGGAAUUGCAUUUUGAAACUGGCAGGCUAGAGUCUUGUAGAGGGGGUAGAAUUUCAGGUGUAGCGGUGAAAUGCGUAGAGAUCUGAAGGAAUACCAGUGGCGAAGGCGGCCCCCUGGACAAAGACUGACGCUCAGAUGCGAAAGCGUGGGGAGCAAACAGGAUUAGAUACCCUGGUAG
rnacentral:rRNA from 1 species